UGAGGAAUAUUGGGCAAUGCCCGCAAGGGUGACCCAGCAACGCCGCGUGGAGGAUGAAUGUCGUAAGAUUGUAAACUCCUGUUAGAGGGGAAGAAUAGUACCGGUUGGACCGGUAUAUGACUGUACCCUCAGAGAAAGCCCCGGCUAACUACGUGCCAGCAGCCGCGGUAAUAUGGAGGGUGCGAGCGUUGUUCGGAAUUACUGGGCGUAAAGCGCGUGCAGGCAGUCUCUUAAGUCUGGUGUGAAAGCCCGGGGCUCACCCCCGGAAGGGCACUGGAGACUGAGAGGCUAGAGUACCGGAGAGGAAGGUGGAAUUCCUGGUGUAGCGGUGAAAUGCGUAGAUAUCAGGAGGAACACCGGUGGCGAAGGCGGCCUUCUGGACGGCUACUGACGCUGAGACGCGAAAGCGUGGGGAGCAAACA
rnacentral:rRNA from 1 species